CACGGGGAGGUAGUGACGAAAAAUAACGAUACGGGACUCAUCCGAGGCCCCGUAAUCGGAAUGAGUACACUCUAAACCCUUUCCCAAGGAUCAAUUGGAGGGCAAGUCUGGUGCCAGCAGCCGCGGUAAUUCCAGCUCCAAUAGCGUAUAUUAAAGUUGUUGCGGUUAAAAAGCUCGUAGUCGAAUCUGUGUCCCGCGCCGUCGGUUCAUCGCUCGCGGUGUUCAACUGGCGUGUCUCGCGGGACGUCCUGCCGGUGGGCUUUCGCAUCGUUCGCGGUGCGUAGCCCAACUCGUAUCCGUCUCGUGCGGGUGCGAAUCCCAUCGCGGUGCUCUUUGUUGAGUGUCGAGGUGGGCCGGCACGUUUACUUUGAACAAAUUAGAGUGCUUAAAGCAGGCCAUUUUUGCCUGAAUAUUGUGUGCAUGGAAUAAUGGAAUAGGACCUCGGUUCUAUUUUGUUGGUUUUCGGAACCCCGAGGUAAUGAUUAAUAGGAACGGAUGGGGGCAUUCGUAUUGCGACGUUAGAGGUGAAAUUCUUGGAUCGUCGCAAGACGGACAGAAGCGAAAGCAUUUGCCAAAAACGCUUUCAUUGAUCAAGAACGAAAGUUAGAGGUUCGAAGGCGAUCAGAUACCGCCCUAGUUCUAACCAUAAACGAUGCCAGCUAGCGAUCCGCCGACGUUCCUCCGAUGACUCGGCGGGCAGCUUCCGGGAAACCAAAGCUUUUGGGUUCCGGGGGAAGUAUGGUUGCAAAGCUGAAACUUAAAGGAAUUGACGGAAGGGCACCACCAGGAGUGGAGCCUGCGGCUUAAUUUGACUCAACACGGGAAACCUCACCAGGCCC
rnacentral:rRNA from 1 species